CAAGGCCUUGCGCGAUAGGAUGAGCCGACGCCCGAUUAGCUAGUUGGUAGGGUAAAGGCCUACCAAGGCGACGAUCGGUAGCUGGUCUGAGAGGAUGAUCAGCCACACUGGGGACUGAGACACGGCCCAGACUCCUACGGGAGGCAGCAGUGGGGAAUAUUGGACAAUGGGCGCAAGCCUGAUCCAGCAAUGCCGCGUGUGUGAAGAAGGCCUGCGGGUUGUAAAGCACUUUUGUUCGGGAAGAAAACGGAUCGGUUAAUACCCGGUUCGGAUGACGGUACCGAAAGAAUAAGCACCGGCUAACUUCGUGCCAGCAGCCGCGGUAAUACGAAGGGUGCAAGCGUUAAUCGGAAUUACUGGGCGUAAAGCGUGCGUAGGCGGCUUUUUAAGUCGGAUGUGAAAUCCCCGGGCUCAACCUGGGAAUGGCAUCCGAUACUGGGGAGCUAGAGUUUGGGAGAGGGUGGUGGAAUUCCCGGUGUAGCGGUGAAAUGCGUAGAGAUCGGGAGAACAUCAGUGGCGAAGGCGGCACCUGG
rnacentral:rRNA from 1 species